CACCCUUCCCACGUCGGCUCGAGUUCCUUUUGACGAGCGCCGGUGCUAUGGCGGCGUUGGUGGACGUCGGGCAGGCUCCCGAUUGGUUGUCCUGCUCGGAUCCUCACUUUUAUGGGCCACCCUUUGCUCGUCGCCCCGCUGUAUCGGAUUGAGUUCGUUUCGAUGGGCACUGGUGAUGUGGUGGCGUUGGCUAGGGUCAGAGAUGGGUCACCGGCGCAAGAUCUGAGCCACCAUCGGUGAAGCCUUGCGUUCGUCCUGGUGUUCUUCAUUUGUUUUUUUGCCAUCGUUGCCAUAAGUAAUAUUGUUGUCCACAUCGUUCUGGAGUCCAGCCAUUGGUCCACAUCGAAGUAAGGUUAUAUACAUAUGAUCAGGUGAGUAAGUAAUAUUCUUUUUUUCGGUCACAUCAAAAUACCGAAUAAUACUGAAUGGCCAAAGAAUAAUCUCUGGAAGUGAUCUCAAAAGUCUAAUAAUACAAACCUGAUGAACACAUAAAGUGGUUUCCCAGGAUAUAGACCUAUGUAAUUACUCCUAUAUGCUAGGCUGCUAACGUCGGAGAGAGUGAGACCCAUGACCCUAAAACAUACAUUGUAUACUUUUCAGAUUUCAUUUGAGUCAAAGACAAAAAUAAACGUAAAAUCAUUUUUUUGGUAUUUGUCGGGCAAGGAGUAUGAAAACCAUUUAGUUUGUUUAUGAGUUACUCAUAUACGACUUUCCAUUUCCUCAACUGUUCUAUAUCUUGUAAAUAAACCCUGAGAAUGAACACCACGGUUCAGUUUUAGAGACCACAGUUCACCAAGUAUGAUAGCGGUCGUUUACCAUUUCUUAACUAAAUAUCUGAAUCAAUUGUUGUUUUGUUGAGUAGGGAAGGGAAGUUGUGUUCACCUGGUAAUGUGAUAAAAAUAAAUAUGCAUUGUGUUGUUCUUUUACUGGAUAAAUAUGCAAUGUGAUGAAAAUAAAUUUCCUUACUAUUAAAGACGGACAUAAAUGAUGCCUACUAACCCAUCCACAUCAUCGGAAACCUUUGUAGCCGUUCAAUCAUGGAUCAUUGGUCCAUCUUCCUCGCCUGCUCUCUCAUACGCCCCUCGUAUAUAAUGAUCCAUUGCUGAAACUUCGAUUAUGCUUUUACUACCGCCCAGAUUUAUUUGGACUGAAGUUCACUGUUGAUGCUAGAUAUUUGAAGUACUUUACCGUUGUUGUGGAAGAUGAAUAGAUGGUUAUAUUAUGGUCAUACAAUUAUUUUAGCAUUGCCUCGGGUCAUCAUGUUUCUGCAUCGUUUUUGCUGUCUGAAAAAUAUAAAGCAAGGCAUAUUUAAACAAUGUAUUAUAAAAUGAGUUUUCUUGUUUUCUAGAAACUCAUUAUAGCAUGUUGUUCUUGCCUCCUCCUACCUUCCUAUUUUAAAAAUCUCUGAUAGAUUUAUUUCCUUAGUUCCUAAACUGAUGCUCCAGUUUGUGUGACCUAUUUUCUACAGGUUUCAGGAUGCCAGGAGUGUUUUUAACUCAGCAUCAUUACAUUGGAAUUGGUAUAUUGCAGCUGCCAGCUUCUUAGUACCAUGGAAUUUCUUUAGCACCACAUAGUUAAGACACUAUCCUAAAUUUACAAGAGACCCGUGCGUUGCGACGGGAAUAAACCAUAAACAAUAAGAACCAAUUAUAUGAAUUUAUGAGAUAUUGAGGUCCACAAUGUAUUGUUCAUUUUCAUGUAAUA
rnacentral:lncRNA from 1 species